CCACAUCACAUUUCAUUUCUAAGUUUAUUAAUUAAACGACAACAAACAACUUCUGCUAGAGUCCAGGCAAUAAAGUUUGUACUACAGAGGAUACAAAGGUAAGACAAUCUCUCCCCAUAAUGUAUUAAUCUUACAAUAAAGAGGGCAAGAUAAUGGGGACCAUCCCAUUCCAAGAGGAAGGAAAGGCAGGGAGUGCAGAGAAGGGCUGGGAUGACUCUCUGGGAAGUUGUGACAUUUCAGCUGGACUUGUAUGGGUAGCAUUUUAAGAAGAAGAGAUCAUGGGUGAUGGCGGGGGCAGAAAAGGCCAUUCCAAACCCACCGGACUUGUCACCAUGCCUGGUCUACCAUGGGUCCUUUUCCUCCAUGCUAAGAUAGUGGAGAUUAAAAAGUUUCAUUUCCUGUGCAAAGUCUGUUCUAUUUAGGGGUUGUCUGUAGUGCUCUUUAAUUGGAGGUGGGCAAGUACAAGGAGUGUUCUGGACAAUGAACACCAAUAGAAUAGCCUGGGGGUAUAGGCGCCUAGUGGGAAUCUCUGCUUUUCUCUGUGGGCUGUUGUUAUAUAUGGAUUCUUAAUUUAGGUCCAUGGAUGGGUAUGGAGGGUCAUGAAUUUUUGAAAUUGAAAGCAGAUUUUUAAAUAUUUUGGUAGAUUCGGGGGAUACUGGGCCAGAGAUUUCACCAAAUUCCUCAAAGAGAUCCAUGACCAGGAAAGGUUUAAAUCACAUAGCUAAAAAAAAACAACAAAAAAAAUACAAAAAAAAAAAAAAAAAAAACAGAAGAAGAAGAAAACAAAACAAUGUCAAAUUAGGUUGACUUGAAUAAAAUAAUUACAGUAGAGGAGGAGCGUGUUAGGUCCUUUUUGACUUAGAAAUGUCACAGACUCAGAAUAUGCAACCAAGACAAAUAUUAGAAACUAAGGAUUUGGUCAGUGAGGAUUUCCUGACUGUUGUUAGAAACAUAAAUGGGCACAGGGCUGCUAGCCUCUCCUUAAAAAUUAUUUGCUGGGCAAAACCUCACCAUGAAUCACUACCGCAGCAAACAGCUCCAAGAACUCAGAAGGAAUGCUCACAUGUCCUUCAUAUAGGUAACUGCUCCGAG
rnacentral:lncRNA from 10 species